GGGCCUGUAGCUCAGCGGUAGAGCAGUGGACUCAUAAUCCAUUGGUCGCAGGUUCGAAUCCUGCCGGGCCCA
rnacentral:tRNA from 1 species